CUGAUGUUAGAGGUGGUUUUUGUCAGGCUUUGGUGCGACCUUUUAACAACUCACUGGGAACAUGGGAGAAGGCAGAGCAACAGGAGCAGAGGGCAGAUGAGCUAGAGAAACAAAUCUGUCUAAGCACAAGGGACUGUAAGGCUUCAGGAUCCCUCCUUCUAAAGGCAACUGAAAAGAACAGUCAUAUUUCAAAGAAACCGGAGAAGUUACUCAAUACUUUGUAGGAUCCUAAUGGGAGAUCCUUUGUGACAUCCUGGGAGCAAAGCUGGAAUCAUGCCAUACUGUCUCCUUGGAGCAGGGUGGAUUGGUAGAAUGGAUCAUAAUGGGAAGUCCCCUGGUUUUAACAGUGACCCACUGAACAAACCAUAGCAUAGACAACUGCUGAAACUGCAUUUUGGAGGCACACAGAGGUUCAUGCUUAGAAGAGUUGAUGGGAGACUUCCUGCAAGGAGAAGACAACCCAAGGAACAACCCCAUCUAUUGCCAGAUGGCCACACAGGGAGUGUGACCUUGUCUCACAAGAUGACAAGAUUUAUUCUGCUCCUUUUGAUAGGACAUUGAUUAAGGCUUCCAUGCUUAAAAAGAUUGUUAUGAAUGUCCAACUGCUUGUGAACAGACCAGAAAGGCAGAAUCCAUCAAAACCACCAAACUGAGCUGAACUCAAAACAAGCCUCGAGACCCCUGGCAUAUCAGGAACCCAAACAAACCGUGCUGCCAGUGCUGUCGGGGCCGUGGGUCAGCUGGCUGUGCUCCCAGCAGUGUGCCUCGCAGUCCAGAGGGGAUGAGCUCACCACGCAGGGAGCCUGGAGACCAAACCCGAGCGGGAGGGCAGUCUGUCUGUCUCACACUCGCUCUGACAGCGAGACAGGGCCAGUCAUACACUCAUUCAAGAAAAAUGGCUGGUUUGAGCGGAUGCAGCCGCUCGUUCCUCAUGCUCCUUGGGUGAUGGCCUCAGCAAGGGCAGCUCAGCGGGGCUUUGCCGACAGAGCCGCAUCGUUCUGAAAGUGCUCUCUUGGAAAUAAAGAUCAGCUGCAGGUGCUGUGAAGUGGGA